CGUUAAAUUUUUUAUACAUUUGUAUGGUUAAUAACUAGCGUGGUUGAUAAAAUAACUAAACAGUAACAUAUGGUGUGCCAUGUGUAUCUCACGCUGACAUACAAGGCUAAUUUUUAAUAGUACAAAUCAAUGGAGUUUUUAAUA
rnacentral:pre_miRNA from 1 species